rnacentral:rRNA from 1 species
UACGUAGGUGGCAAGCGUUAUCCGGAUUUAUUGGGCGUAAAGAGAACGCAGGCGGUCUUUUAAGUCUGAUGUGAAAGCCUUCGGCUUAACCGGAGUAGUGCAUUGGAAACUGGGAGACUUGAGUGCAGAAGAGGAGAGUGGAACUCCAUGUGUAGCGGUGAAAUGCGUAGAUAUAUGGAGGAACACCAGUGGCGAAGGCGGAUUGCUGGACAGUAACUGACGCUGAGGCGCGAAAGCGUGGGGAGCAAACAGG